AUUGAACGCUGGCGGCAGGCCUAACACAUGCAAGUCGAGCGGAGCGGCGGACGGGUGAGUAAUGUAUGGGGAUCUGCCCGAUAGAGGGGGAUAACUACUGGAAACGGUGGCUAAUACCGCAUACUAUCGGAUGGACCCAUAUGGGAGUAGCUAGGAGGUGGGGGAAAGGCUCACCUAGGCGACGAUCUCUAGCGGGUCUGAGAGGAUGAUCGGCCACACUGGGACUGAGACACGGCCCAGACUCCUCCGGGAUGCAGCAGUGGGGAAUAUUGCACAAUUGGCGCAAGCCUGAUGCAGCCAUGCCGCGUGUGUGAAGAAGGUCUUCGGAUUGUAAAGCACUUUAAGUUGGGAGUCGUUACCAACAUAAUAAGCACCGGCUAACUUCGUGCCAGCAGCCGCGGUAAUUC
rnacentral:rRNA from 1 species